UCCGGGUUGGUCCCGGCGGUCCGGUCAGUGGGAUGUCAAGACCUGGUAAGGUUCUUCGCGUUGCUUCGAAUUAAACCACAUGCUCCACCGCUUGUGCGGGCCCCCGUCAAUUCCUUUGAGUUUCAGUCUUGCGACCGUACUCCCCAGGCGGAGUGCUUAAUGCGUUUGCUGCAGCACUAAAGGGCGGAAACCCUCUAACACUUAGCACUCAUCGUUUACGGCGUGGACUAC
rnacentral:misc_RNA from 1 species